rnacentral:rRNA from 1 species
AGAGUUUGAUCCUGGCUCAGGAUGAACGCUGGCGGCGUGCUUAACACAUGCAAGUCGAACGAAGCACCUUGAUUUGAUUCUUCGGAUGAAGAUCUUGGUGACUGAGUGGCGGACGGGUGAGUAACGCGUGGGUAACCUGCCUCAUACAGGGGAUAACAGUUAGAAAUGACUGCUAAUACCGCAUAAGACCACAGCACCGCAAUGGUUGCAGGGGGUAAAAACUCCGGUGGUAUGAGAUGGACCCGCG